rnacentral:rRNA from 1 species
UGGGGAAUUUUGGACAAUGGGCGCAAGCCUGAUCCAGCCAUGCCGCGUGCGGGAAGAAGGCCUUCGGGUUGUAAACCGCUUUUGUCAGGGAAGAAAUCUUCUGAGUUAAUACCUCGGGAGGAUGACGGUACCUGAAGAAUAAGCACCGGCUAACUACGUGCCAGCAGCCGCGGUAAUACGUAGGGUGCAAGCGUUAAUCGGAAUUACUGGGCGUAAAGCGUGCGCAGGCGGUUUUGUAAGACAGAGGUGAAAUCCCCGGGCUCAACCUGGGAACUGCCUUUGUGACUGCAAGGCUUGAGUGCGGCAGAGGGGGGAUGGAAUUCCGCGUGUAGCAGUGAAAUGCGUAGAUAUGCGGAGGAACACCGAUGGCGAAGGCAAUCCCCUGGGCCUGCACUGACGCUCAUGCACGAAAGCGUGGGGAGCAAACAGGAUUAGAUACCCCUGGUAGUCCACGCCCUAAACGAUGUCAACUGGUUGUUGGGAAGGUUCCUUCUCAGUAACGUAGCUAACGCGUGAAAGUUUGACCGCCUGGGGAGUACGGCCGCAAGGUUGAAACUCAAAUGAAUUGACGGGGU